UAAAAAUUCCGAUUGGACGGAAUGUUGAUUGACAUUGGCUUUGCCCAGUCAAAAUCCAGCCCAGCCCAGCCCAGGUGGAUAACUUCCCUUAAUGAAAAUGAACGUAGCCUAGCGAAUGGGUGACGUUGUAGGCCUAUCGUUCAGUAAAUUUGAAAGCAAUUAAGUAACUAAGCUGAAGGAAAAUGAAGAGGAGCUAUCCAUCUGGUAGCGAGAAGAAGAAGAAGAAGAAAAAAGAAGAAGAAGCAAAAAGAAAGAAAGACAGUGGUAAGUGGAGCAGAUAAUGAUUUAAGCAUAACAUUAACAGUAAAUGACUGCUGUCAUUGAAAUGAUGCUACUUUGUCUUCUAACGGGGAGACAGCAGCUAUAGCUUUAAGUGAAUGCUAUGAUAGCAAUGAAUAAUGAAAGCUAUGCCCAAGGAGAACAAUUAAACAUUUUUAACAAAAUCUUUCAUAUCUCUCCUCAGGAUCAUUGCUUAAAUUUCUAACAAAACAGACAGAUAAAGUUCCCCUACCAAAUGCUGAUGAAAACCUUCCAGCAACAUCCACAUCCAGUGGGAUAGUGGCCACUCAACCUGUUGGUUGUCAUGAAGAGCAGGAAGAGACACCAGAGGCACAUCGAGCACCCAUUCCAAGUUAUGAUACUGAUGACUUUCCAGCAACAUCCACCUGCAGUGGGAUAGUGGCCACUCACCCUGUUGGUUGUCAUGAUGAGCAGGAAGAGACACCAGAGGCAUAUCGAGCACCCAUUCCAUGUUAUGACACUGAUAACUUUCCGGCAACGUCCACCACCAACAGGACAGGAAUUACAGUUUUUUUUAUUUUAUUAUACAUUCAUUUUAAUUUAUUAAUUUAUUCUUUACUUUUAUUCU